CUAAUAUGAGAGUUUGAUCUUGGCUCAGGAUGAACGCUGGCGGCGUGCCUAAUACAUGCAAGUCGAACGCACUUCCGUCGAAUGAUUUCAAGGUGCUUGCACCGCGAAUGAAAAUGACA
rnacentral:rRNA from 1 species